CUUGUGUCAAUGUUUGUUUGUAAUCUUUUUCAGCUAUCCACUGCCACUCGCAAAGGAGAUUGUAUUGUUGGAUUAUGGUAUCAUUUGGUCAAAAUGAGGGACGUGUACUGAGCAUUUUUCUUUUUUUUCUUUUUUUUUGAUGGGCCAUCACACAGUGGAUUUAUAAAAAUGAGACUACAGAACAUUAGACGGAAGCUUCAACACGUGAGAGGACAUCAUCAAUAAAGAAUGCCAUUGACCAAACCUUCAGUCAUCAAAGGAGAUGGAUACAGGUGGACAUCGAGUUUUCCAGACUUACCGAUAGGAAAGAAUACAUGUUUAUCAGGAAAUGGGAGGUGACAAUUAUUGAGAAACUCAGGGAAAUAGCAUCUUUAGAGAAGAAAAUGGACAUCAGACAUUCAUUGACAAAAGCUGACAGUCAA